ensembl:lncRNA
CAAAAACGUGGAAGCACUUUUGCAAAUAUGUGAUAUUUUGAUAAAUUAAGUAGAUAUUUGAGCAUUACACAGCUACAUUGUCGCCUGAAAAUAUCUUAAAAGGUUAUUUUGUGACCCAGAAAGGGUAGUCUGGGGAAAAGGAGGAUCGCAUUUGUCGGCCAGGGUUGUCGGAGCCUGUGCGUACUUGUAAGCGCGGCAAUGGCGCAGGAGCGCCGCUGAAAAACUUAUUACUUUUUCUGGGUCACAAAAUAAACUUUUAAGAUAUUUUCAGGCGAGAAUGUAGCUGUGUAAAUUUCAAAUAUCUGCUCGAUUUAUCAAGACAUCACAUAUUUUCAUGCUUUGUGGCAGCUUUUGAACAUCUGUGGCAUCUAUUAAUGUCAAAUCUAGCCUUUAUUUAACAACAUAAGCAAACUCUAUGUUACAAUGAUUGCACAGCCAUUAAGGAUCAAAUCAGUUUCUGAAAAAUGUUCUGUUUUUCUCCCUCUGCUUGCUUCUUACUGUCUUUGAGGCUCGGGACCAGCACUCCUGCUGUUGGACAGAAAGACAUCAGUAAGUAUUUUGGUUUUCCAAUAUAUUAGCAGCUGUCAGUGACAUUUAUAUUAAUCAGGCUGAACUUUAAUCAUACUUUAGAUCAGCCUGUUUUACUUAUUGUUUUAUUUGUGCUUUGGUUUGGGGAAGUUGUUUCUUUACUGAUCUUUUCCUGUCUUCUGUUAUUAGACUUGAGAUAUGACUGCACUGUGCUGUUGCUGGUGACCACAGUUAAUUCUACAAGACAUGCUGUGACACCAGGAGAGAUGAGUCCUCCGUCACAGAUGGUGUGGUCAGUGAAGAUGGUCGCCUGCAGGUUCAAGCUCAUUGCAUCUCCAACCCACAUCCACUGCCACUGUACUUAAGGGAAGUUAAAGACUUUGUUCUGCACCUACAUUUGGAUCACCUCGAUCCAUGACAGUCAUUCAGGCAGUAAUGCCUGGACUGGAAACAAACAUCCUUAAAAUAAUACAACAUUCCAGCUCAUGUGUUGGAAUGGAAAACAAAUGUGUUGUUUAAAUUAGAGACUGCACUUGUGAGAGAAUAAUAUAUAUUUUAUUUUGAUUAUAUAAGUAAUGUAAGUACAAAACAAACUGUGGUAGACCUAAACUUAUUUUCAGAAUAAUUAAAUCUGAGACUUUGUUUCAUUGUAAGAUUAUAACAGUGAUGUCAAUAUAAUUGUUUGUUGUUCAGCAGAACAGUGUCCAGUAUGUUGGCUGUUAUACUUUGUUGUGUUUGAAAAUAAAAGUUGGGCUCAUUUUAACAUCA